rnacentral:rRNA from 1 species
UACGAAGGUUGCAAGCGUUACUCGGAAUUACUAGGCGUAAAGGGCAUGUAGGUGGUUUGGUAAGUCUAUUGUGAAAGCUCCCGGCUUAACUGGGAGAGGCCAAUGGAUACUGCCAAGCCUGAGUAUAGGAGAGGUUACUGGAAUUCCCGGUGUAGCGGUGAAAUGCGCAGAUAUCGGGAGGAACACCAAUGGCGAAAGCAGGUAACUGGACUAUUACUGACACUCAACUGCGAAAGCUAGGGGAGCAAACAGG